GAAGAAUUAGGGUUCGAUUUCGGAGAGGGAGCAUGAGAAACGGCUACCACAUCUAAGGAAGGCGGCAGGCGCGUAAAUUACCCAAUCCUGACUCAGGGAGGUAGUGACAAGAAAUAGCAAACCGGGAACCUCAUGGUUUCACGGUAUUGCAAUGAGAACAAUUUAAAACCCUUAGCGAGAAUCAAGUGGAGGACAAGUCUGGUGCCAGCACCCGCGGUAAUUCCAGCUCCACUAGCGUAUAUUAAAGUUGUUGCAGUUAAAAGGCUCGUAGUUGAACCUCUGUCUGGGGCUAGUUUUGGCUUUGGUCAGGCUAGUUCUAGGCAUCCGCCUACAAGACUUAGAGGGCAUUCAGUUGUUCACUAGGAGGAGUAGGCAUUUUACUUUGAAAAAAUUAGAGUGUUUAAGGCAGGCAAUCGCCCGCAUAUAUUAGCAUGGAAUAAUAGAAUAGGACACUUUUCCAUUUCGUUGGUUAUUGGAAUCGUGUAAUGAUUAAUAGGGACAGAUGAGGGCAUUUGUAUUUAAUUGUCAGAGGUGAAAUUCUUGGAUUUAUUAAAGACGAACUAACGCGAAAGCAUUUGCCAAGGAUGUUUUCAUUAAUCAAGAACGAAAGUUAGGGGAUCAAAGACGAUCAGAUACCGUCCUAGUCUUAACUAUAAACUAUUCCGACUCAAUGUUUGACUGGCUUAUAUAACCAGUUGAGCGUUGUAUGAGAAAUCAAAGUCUUAGGUUCUGGGGGGAGUACGGUUGCAAAGCUGAAACUUAAAGGAAUUGACGGAAGAGCACAACCAGGAGUGGAUUCUGCGGCUUAAUUUGACUCAACACGGGGAAACUUACCAGGUUAAAAUAAUAGUGGGAUUGACAGUUUGAGAGCGCUUUCUUGAUUGGUUGGGUGGUGGUGCAUGGCCGUUCUUAGUUGGUGGAGUGAUUUGUCUGCUUAAUUGCGUUAACGAACGAGACCUUAACCUGCUUACUAGACUGGCGAUCAUCAAUCGUUAGCUCUUCUUAGAGGGACUUUGGUUGUUUUAACUCCAAGGAAGUUUGAGGCAAUAACAGGUCUGUGAUGCCCUUAGAUAUCCUGGGCCGCACGCGUCAUACAAUGACUAGUUCAGAAAGUUUUCUCCUGACCCGAAAGGGGAUGGGUAAUCUUGAUAAUACUAGUCGUGUUAGGGAUCGAUCUUUGCGAUUAUAGAUCUUGAACGAGGAAUUCCUAGUAAGUGCGGUUCAUCAGACCGUACUGAUUACGUCCCUGCUCUUUGUACACACCGCCCGUCGCUUCUACCGAGUGGGUGGUCCGGUGAGAUAAUUGAACUUCGCAGGUAACUGAGAGGAAAGAUUAUCAAACCUAUCCACCUCGAGGAAGAAGAAGUCGUAACAAGGUU
rnacentral:rRNA from 1 species